UGAAUGUCUAUGACGUUAAGGCAAACUUUCUAGAUAUGCACUAUAUGUACAUCAAAGAAAACACUGCUUAAAUUAUAUUCUUCAAAGAUUUGAAUAAGUACAACACAUAGGAAGAAAUUAUCUGUAAUAUCCAUCAUGUUAAAUCUGUCACAGUUAUUUUAUGAGCACCAUGCUGAUGUUACUGCUGUGGUAAAAACCUAAAAAAAAAUUGUGACUGAAUAAAUACAGUAUUUUACACAUUUUACUGACAGACAGUUUACUAAUGUUUUCAUGCAAGAGAGAAGACCAUAUGGGCUGUACAAAAUCUUGCAACAUUGAUGGUCAAAGUGCAGCUAAAAAUGUUUUCAAGCUACAGUAGCCAACAGGAGCGUUGCUGUGGGAAGCACAGUAUCCCAAGUUCUUCCGCUCUUCUCAUCUACUUUACUCAAGUGGAAAACUGCAUCACCUGACAGCCCACCUACAAAACACCCUCUCUUGGAGUUUCCGUGACAACAGUUCUAACUUUGCAGAUCCUGAUGACACCACCUACCUCCCCAGUAUUUCUGAACUUGUUGACACCAUCACUGAACAAGCACCAGCCAAGGCAGUGCAGGACACGGUGAAGUACUUGGUGUAGGAGGACUGCCUCCUGGAGCUUUUUAAAAUCUGCCCCACCUGCUCCAGACUCUGCAAAGUUGACACGUUUGUU